UGGAAAUGAGGACAAAAUUGCAUUCACGGAUCUAAGAAUGAAGACCGUUAAUCCAACUCUGAUCCGAACACUGCU